UUUAUGGUGCCUGAUCAAAGGAUAGUCUUGAUAGGGCUAAACACGUAAUUCAAAUUACCCAUAUUU
rnacentral:tRNA from 1 species